rnacentral:rRNA from 1 species
CCUACGGGCGGCAGCAGUGGGGGAUAUUGCACAAUGGGGGAAACCCUGAUGCAGCGACGCCGCGUGAGGGAAGACGGUUUUCGGAUUGUAAACCUCUGUCUUUGGGGACGAAUUGAGACGGUACCCAAGGCGGAAGCUCCGGCUAACUACGUGCCAGCAGCCGCGGUAAUACGUAGGGAGCAAGCGUUAUCCGGAUUUACUGGGUGGAAAGGGAGCGUAGACGGCGCGGCAAGUCUGAAGUGAAAGGCAGGGGCUUAACCCCUGAACUGCUUUGGAAACUGCCAUGCUAGAGUGCUGGAGAGGUAAGUGGAAUUCCUAGUGUAGCGGUGAAAGGCGUAGAUAUUAGGAGGAACACCAGGGGCGAAGGCGGCUUACUGGACAGUAACUGACGUUGAGGCUCGAAAGCGUGGGGAGCAAACAGGAUUAGAUACCCCGGUAGUC